rnacentral:sRNA from 1 species
AGAAGUCGGAACGGGAUCGCAUCGCCCUUGUAAUUGGCCUGCUUCAGGAGAUCCUUGGCGAGCUGCGGAUUAUAUUCCGGAACCGUCCAGCCUUCGACGAACAUG